ACAAAUACGCCCCGCUUUGAAUUAUGGGAGCCAACAUAUAAACGAAUGGCUCCGCACAUAGCCGACUGGUUCCCAUCUCCAAAGCGCAGCGCAUUUUGCACACGGCAACGCUUGGAGCCACGUUGACUUUGUCGGAAGAGUUUGUAAAUGGAGUAAAACGGAGUUAAUCGUGAUGUUAAUUUCGGCUGUUGCGUUGUUUAUAUUAACGUUGAAGUUUAAAUUUGACCAUCAUCGUGAAGAAUUAUAUCUUCUGUAUUGAUGGACCAAAGGAUUAUGUGGAAAUAUUGGAAAUGGAAUAAAAUACAUGGUGAUGUUGAUGGUUGUGUAGUUUGAUAUCAGAAAUAUUAGACGUAUUGCUUGUAGGACAUUGACGGCAGGAACUUGAAAUUAACUGUGGAGUGCUACCUUAAUGUUACCUAAGUACUACACUACAAGACCCAGUAGAUAGUAUAUUGAAAAAUAGAAAGACAGCUCAAUAGAUUGAGUAUUGAAACAUAUCAAAUGUAAUGUACAUUUGGUUCAGAUUCAAGUGAAAGUAAAAGUCGUUAUUGUUUCCAGAACUAUUGUGUACUAAUGAAUAACAAACUAUAUUUUCAACCAUAAAACAACAUUAAUAUCAUAAGGUUCAGAUAUGAUAAAUAAGAUAAAUAAGGUAUUAAGUAUCAAAUAAAGUCAGGGGUCCAAAAUUAAGAACACGCACGCGUCUCGGUUGUAUCAUGUAUUCAACGGCUUGUCACAUGAUAGAAACAAUAGAUAAAAAUAAGUAUAUAACUGUAACACCCGUCAUAUUAAAUUAAUCAUUUUGUUUGACUUUGUGUAAAGAAAGAGGAAAUUAUUGAAAAGGAAUAUUAUAAAUAAGCGAUAAAUGUAAGUUGUUAUAUCAGCAUAUAUGAUAUUUAAUAUUUACAUAUUCAUUUAUGGUAUAACAGGCAUUCGAUUAUUGACUAAUUUGAUUUGAAUU